AUUGAACGCUGGCGGAAGGCCUAACACAUGCAAGUCGAACGAGUGGCGGACGGGUGAGUAAUGUCUGGGAAACUGCCUGAUGGAGGGGGAUAACUACUGGAAACGGUAGCUCAUACCGCAUACCAUCAGAUGUCCCCAGAUGGGCGUAGCUUGUUGGGGGGGUAACGGCUCACCAAGGCGACGAUCCCUAGCUGGUCUGAGAGGAUGACCAGGCACACAGGAACUGAAAUACGGUCCAGAGUCCGACGGAAGGCAGCAGCGGGAAAUAUUGCACAAGGGGCGCAAGCCGGAUGCAGCAAGGCAGAGUGUAGGCAGAAGGCCUUAGGGUUGUAAAGUACUUUCAUCGGGGAGGCGUUACCGGCUGAAGAAGCACCGGCUAACUCCGGGCACGCAGCCGCGGUAAUAC
rnacentral:rRNA from 1 species